rnacentral:rRNA from 1 species
UGAGGAAUAUUGCGCAAUGGGGGCAACCCUGACGCAGCAACGCCGCGUGAGUGAGGAAGGUUUUCGGAUUGUAAAGCUCUGUCGAGCGGAAAGAAGUGCUUGGUGGUUAAUACCCAUCAGGCUUGACGGUACCGCUAAAGGAAGCACCGGCUAACUCCGUGCCAGCAGCCGCGGUAAUACGGGGGGUGCAAGCGUUGUUCGGAAUCAUUGGGCGUAAAGCGCGUGUAGGCGGCUUGACAAGUCAGAUGUGAAAUCCCUGGGCUUAACCCAGGAAGUGCAUUUGAAACUGUCUAGCUUGAGUAAGGGAGAGGAAAGUGGAAUUCCUGGUGUAGAGGUGAAAUUCGUAGAUAUCAGGAGGAACACCGGUGGCGAAGGCGACUUUCUGGCCCUAUACUGACGC